rnacentral:lncRNA from 1 species
GAACAGGGCACAGCAGAACCGCCGCCGCUGGUCGAUUCCGGAGCUCCGCCGCCUCUCCCUUCGUUUUCUCUCGUCCAUAGCUCCACCUCCAUCCCAUCUUCACUCCCGACCCCUCAGUUCCGCAGGUCCGCGCCGGCGAGCUCGUCCCCGCCGUUCUUCCCGUCCGCCGGCCGCCAUAGCCACCUCUCCAGUGAGCCCCCUUGCGCCACCCCUCUCCACCCGAGUUCUUAGCUCUGGGUGCCUACGUUGGGUCCUACCAAAUCUCAAGAGGCAAUCCAUGACCGGAGAGCUUUCACCGCCGCCACCCACGCCGGCCAUGUUCCGAUCAUGCCCGCCGCCGCCGUCGAGAGCCCCUGCGCAGCCCAUCUUCUGAACCAAAACACCACCAGGGGGUGCGCGUGGCCCUAGGGAGCGUUGCGGCCCAGUCCCCACCGCCGGAGACCUCGCCGCCGGCGAGCUAGCGCCGUUACCCGCCGGGAAAGCCGCAGUCAAGGUCGGGCCUUCUGUUUUUGACCUAGCGGGCCCGCGUGUCCGAGUCUGUGGGUAGGGCGUGGGUGAGUGAGAAAGUUUUUCAGGGGAGGUGGGGAUAAUGAUAGGUUUUCAGUUUGGAGAUAAUAGUUUAAAUUCGUGAUUUCACUAUUUAAUUCACCAGAAAUUGUAGAAAUAUCAAAAAAAAAAUAGUGAAACCAAUUUUAUUAGGAUUGUUUUAUUGUGAAACCAAUUUUAUUAGGAUUGUUUUAUUUUUCCUUUAUGCAUUAAAAAAUUCUUAAACCCUAGGAAAUAUAAUAAAAUUUAGGUAUUUAUUUAAUACCUUUUUACUAAGGUAUUUAAAUAAAUGCUUAACCUUUAUUAAAUGCAUAAAAUUUUGAAUAAUGUUUUCAUAAUCACAAAUUAUUAUUAAUCCAUAGGAAUUAAGUUUUGAUAUUAGAAAAUUAUUAUAAUACUUUUCUAAAAUAAAAGAAAGGCUUAGAUAGGUUAGUAAGGAAAUUAAAAUUGUGGGUUAAUCUUUAUGGGUAGUUUAGUGUUGGCUUGCAACUUUAUCAUGAAGAUAGGUUGUAUAGUUGUUGGCUUGCAACUUUAUCAUGAAGGAAAGUUGUAUAGUCAUGUGUUCAAAAGUUUGCAUCUCUAACUCCUGCAUGUACUAAAUCAUAGACGUCGAAGCUCCUGAAGUGGAAUUCGUGGAAUUCAUCUGAAGAUUGUCAGAGUUCGAGAAGUGUUGAAGUGCUUCUUUUACUAAAGGGGUUUUCCGAAGGACUAACAUUUGUUGAUCCCAGGCAAGCUCCGGUGCAUUUAAACCCAUCUACUUUCGGAAAUUAUGAGUCCAAUUGAUGGUUAUUUCUUUAUAUGUGCAUUAGGUCUAGGAGUUGAUUGAAAACUUACUUUUAUGCACAAUCCAACCUUGUUAUUAAGGACAUCUUUGCCACCUGUUCAACUAAUUAGUAACUAUCCUAUGCUUAGCAAUGCUUAGAUACCUAUGAGUAACUUUGGUUACUCAACACUAAGGCUAAGAUGAUCAUACAUGUUAAUCAAGGAAAUGGCCUGAGAUUUUGGAAAUGCGGACAGAAGCUAAAGAUGGUAGUUCUGUCUGCUAAGUUAAUGUGGUUAAGGACCGUUCGUUGUCUUAACCUUUGAUCAAGUGAUUUUACCUGGUUGCUUACUGGGUAUGGGACCAGUAAAGCCCGGUAGGUUAGUAGACUCUCUGACCGGGAAUAUUUCGUACCCGUGCUUGACGUGCUGGAGAUUGGCAGGGGCGUAGCCUGAAACUCACAUGGAGAUCGGGCCAGACAUGGGUCCCAUGUAGGGGUGCGUCCCUGGGUUCAGGUAGUCUUAUUCCCAAUCUUUAGGUAUGCUAAUCGAAAGGUUGUUAUGUACGACCCGUACAGUUGUACAUGGCUGGUGGUCGGGUAUCUCCUGCAGGAUGUAAAUCGGUCUGGAUCGCCGCAAUUCUCGGUUAUGAAUGCACUUUGAUCACCGUUAAGCAUCGUAGUGUAAUCCAAUUGAGUACAAUGUUUUUCCUGAAGUUAAUAUGCUGUAUGACUUAGUUCCAAUGAGUGCUCAAAAAUAUUUUAUUCAUCUAGACUGGUUAGGUAACAACUAAACAGAAAUAAAAGAAUAAAGUUAAGGUUCCACUUAUAGUAAGCCUUUUUGCAAAAAUGUGAGUCAGCCAGUACACCAAACAGCUAUCAUUCAGUAAAAGAAAAACUAUCUAUAUUGGUUAGUCGGGUCAGACUUGCUGAGUACUUCGUACUCAGGGGAUCCUUUGUUACUGUUUUCAGAAACCCAGGAGGGACCUACCGAGGAGGAAGCUCUGAAGAACUAGGGUAUCUCAUGAGUCUCAUGAUACCUAGAAUAAAACUUAGACGUUUAAUUACUUGCCCCGGACUGGUUUACAUUUUAAACUCUUAGUAAUGGUUUAACUUGCACUGUUAAGUUUCUUUCAAUCUAUGGUUUGUAAUAAAUCAUACCUAUGUUAUGUACAUAAAAAUGUAAUAUUUGUUGAUGCUAUCCCAUCG